GACGAACGCUGGCGGCGUGCCUAAUACAUGCAAGUAGAACGCUGAAGGAGGAGCUUGCUUCUCUGGAUGAGUUGCGAACGGGUGAGUAACGCGUAGGUAACCUGCCUGGUAGCGGGGGAUAACUAUUGGAAACGAUAGCUAAUACCGCAUAAUAGUAGAUGUUGCAUGACAUUUGCUUAAAAGAUGCAAUUGCAUCACUACCAGAUGGACCUGCGUUGUAUUAGCUAGUUGGUGGGGUAACGGCUCACCAAGGCGACGAUACAUAGCCGACCUGAGAGGGUGAUCGGCCACCCUGGGACUGAGACACGGCCCAGACUCCUACGGGAGGCAGCCGUAGGGAAUCUUCGGGAAUGGACGGAAGUCUGACCGAGCAACGCCGCGUGAGUGAAGAAGGGUUUCGGAUCGUAAAGCUCUGUUGUAAGAGAAGAACGAGUGUGAGAGUGGAAAGUUCACACCGUGACGGUAGCUUACCAGAAAGGGACGGCUAACUACGUG
rnacentral:rRNA from 1 species